AGCAGCCGCGGUAAUUCCAGCUCCAAUAGCGUAUAUUAAAGUUGUUGCAGUUAAAAAGCUCGUAGUUGAAUUUCGGAAUCUGUCUGUUGGUCGGGCUUAACUGUCCGUACUGAUGUGAUGGGUUCUUACCUUCUGAAUAACCAGCAUGCCAUUAAUUUAGUGUGUUGGGGAAGCAGGACUAUUACCUUGAAAAAUUAGAGUGCUCAAAGCAGGCUAGUGCCUGAAUACAUUAGCAUGGAAUAAUAAAAUAGGACGGCAUGGUUCUAUUUUGUUGGUUUCUAGGAUCACCGUAAUGAUUAAUAGGGAUAGUUGGGGGCAUUAGUAUUCAAUUGUCAGAGGUGAAAUUCUUGGAUUUAUUGAAGACUAACUUCUGCGAAAGCAUUUGCCAAGGAUGUCUUCAUUAAUCAAGAACGAAAGUUAGGGGGAUCGAAGACGAUCAGAUACCGUCGUAGUCUUAACCCAUAAACUAUGCCGACUAGGGAUCGGACGAUGUUAAUUUUAUAAUGACUUCGG
rnacentral:rRNA from 1 species